AUUAAUUCAUACAGUAAAACAUAUAGAAACUGAUUUCCAAGUCUUUAUCCUAAUCCAACUAAUUUCAUCGUGCUGGAGUGUCAACGGAAUCUUUCUAUUAAGGGUGUGUCGUAUUUUUCCCACUUGAGAGCAUCCUUUCUCCCAUUAUGAUGUCUCUCACGACUGCCACUCUAGUGGUGUCGCCAUCAUCACAGGUUACAUGUUCGGCGGCGCGUCGUCCACAGACAGCUAAGGUGCAAACUGACAACAAAAAGCAAAGACAAAACAAAGUUGGUUUGGGCGGCGAGAAGAAGGAAUUGUCGUGGCAAUGUGUGGAAGGCUGUGGAGCUUGCUGUAAGCUUCAAAAGGGUCCUUCUUAUCCAUCUCCUGAAGAAAUUUUCACUGACCCUUCAGAUGUUCAGCUCUACAAUAGCUUAAUAGGACCAGAUGGAUGGUGUAUUCAUUAUGAAAAGAGUACCAGGAAAUGUUCCAUUUACUCUGAGCGUCCAUAUUUUUGUCGUGCCGAGCCUGAGGUGUUUGAAUCUUUGUUUGGAGUUAAAGAGAAGAAUUUCAACAAGGAGGCAUGCAGUUUCUGCAGGGACUCAAUUAAGCAAAUUUAUGGCUAUAAUUCGAAGGAGCUUUAUAAUUUUAACAAGUCAAUCAGGAGCUCUUCUAGUUAGAGUUUUGGAUUCAAUUUCUCAAGAUACCAAUAUCUUGACUGAAUAUGGGACGUGGUUUAUGUUGUCCCAUACUUAAUCGAACGGAUUAUCAACACAAUGCACGCGUUGAAGCCUUUCAAGCACCGUGCCGUAUAAUCUCUACAACUGUUAUUGAAGCACAAAUGUAUUGUUGGUGGUAUUCUUAGAUCGAUAAACAACAACUUCCAUUCAAAAUUUAUAUAUUGCAGUUCUUCCUUUUAGUUAGCCCAGUUGUGGUGUGGCAUGCCGGAGUUUUUGCUUCUCCUCUGUCACAAUCAGAAAAAAGAAGAUGCAGUGGUUUCUUUUGAGUAGCAACUUCGACCAGGGUCUAAAAACAAUUUUCAGGAAACAUGGGCACCGACUAGGUUAGUGUGCUCUAAAUCAUGAUGCCAGUAAAAUUGAUGUCAUCCGGGACCUUUUCUUUUUUAUAUCUUGCUUAUUUGUUUCUAUUAGACUGUUGAGCAAAAACCUUAAAAGUACAGCAAAACCCUAUUUUGUAUAU